rnacentral:rRNA from 1 species
AUUGAACGCUGGCGGCAUGCCUUACACAUGCAAGUCGAACGGUAACAGGUCUUCGGACGCUGACGAGUGGCGAACGGGUGAGUAAAGCAUCGGAACGUGCCCAGUCGUGGGGGAUAACCGCUCGAAAGAGCAGCUAAUACCGCAUACGACCUGAGGGUGAAAGCGGGGGACCGUAAGGCCUCGCGCGAUUGGAGCGGCCGAUGUCAGAUUAGCUAGUUGGUGGGGUAAAGGCCUACCAAGGCAACGAUCUGUAGUUGGUCUGAGAGGACGACCAGCCACAGUGGGACUGAGACACGGCCCAGACUCCUACGGGAGGCAGCAGUGGGGAAUUUUGGACAAUGGGCGCAAGCCUGAUCCAGCAAUGCCGCGUGCAGGAAGAAGGCCUUCGGGUUGUAAACUGCUUUUGUCAGGGAAGAAAUCUUCUGGGCUAAUACCCCGGGAGGAUGACGGUACCUGAAGAAUAAGCACCGGCUAACUACGUGCCAGCCGCCGCCGUAACAC